rnacentral:misc_RNA from 1 species
GAUGAAGAACGCAGCGAAAUGCGAUACGUAAUGUGAAUUGCAGAAUUCAGUGAAUCAUCGAGUCUUUGAACGCACAUUGCGCCCCCUGGUAUUCCGGGGGGCAUGCCUGUCCGAGCGUCAUUGCUGCCCUCAAGCCCGGCUUGUGUGUUGGGUCUCGUCCCCCUUCCCGGGGGGACGGGCCCGAAAGGCAGCGGCGGCACCGUGUCCGGUCCUCGAGCGUAUGGGGCUUUGUCACCCGCUCUGUAGGCCCGGCCGGCGCUUGCCGAUCAACCAAAACUUUUUUCCAGGUUGACCUCGGAUCAGGUAGGGAUACCCGCUGAACUUAAGCAUAUCAAUAAGCGGAGG